ensembl:lncRNA
AGCACAUGGAAGUGAGGUUUGAGAUUUGUGUCUGAGAGACGUUCGAGCGACUGUCGGGAAAACGGAAUAUAAAGUGAAUUAAAGAAGCAGCCCGAGCAGCCCGCACCUUUGGGAUGUGGUGCAGCAGGAGAUUCGCAUCAUGGAUGUGCAGCCGACAAAUCUGUUGCAACUUUGUGAUGCUGUCAUGUCAACAUGGACCAGAAUCUGACGAAUCUUUCCAGCAGCUUUUUGGAUGAAGGAGGCAGUUCUGAAGGCAAAAGAAGCGCUCUCUCAGCCCGCUGGCUUUCCUCUGCAGCAGCUGUCGGUCAGCGUCAGUUGGUGUAUCUCGGAAACACAGAUCGCUAAUGAGGCUGGAGCUCUCGAGGACUGCCUGGCCCUGAACUCAGCAUCACACGGUGCUAAGUGACGAGGAUCCCCUGCUGCACCCAGGGAGGGUUAUGCAUCUAAAACGUGAAUAUUAUAUACGUCACGUCGAAUCAGGAGACGGGUGCUCUCAUCUGCAGCUUGAGCUGUCUGGCUUUGAGAUCUCGCUGUGCUCGGGGUGGUCCUGCAAACUCAGGAAAGUCCAGGUACGAUUUGAUUAAUGUGGGUUUUGGCUCGUCUGGACAGAAACAUCAGCAAGGACACUGUGGACGUAAAAUGCUUCUGCUGCUGCUGCUGUGAUGGUGGUGUUGCAGACCCCCCAUGCAGGCCAGAUCUUUCUGCAGCUUCUGCACCGACACAUGAUCUGACUAGGAAGGAUGCAAAGGUGGAAGCAGACCGUGCUGGAUUUAGUUUCACAGCAUCUUACUGGAGCAAACGCACACAACAUACUGCAAGGUUUUCAGUAGUAUCUACUUCCCCCUUUUUUUUUCUUUUUUUUGUUUGAGAGGACACGGAUACACCCUGACUGGGCCCCUGUAGUGCUCUACAUUGUGGUUGGGAAGUACCUAGUUUUACAACUGUCAUGCUGGCCUGCUUAAAGGGACAGUGCUGAUCAAUUCGAAGCACAUAUUCAGGGGUCUUUUAGUCACCCUAACAAGGGGGUCACAUGGAUGUUUGAGUCGUCAUUCCUCAUGUGAGGAAUGUGCAGUCCGAAGAGCCGCUUUCUGCAUCAAGCACUGCAUAAAAAUACUGAUUGAUAUUUGUUAAAAGAAUGUCUUUAAUAAAAAGUUGAAUUGAAUUGGGUGUGAGAGUUUCCUGCUUUUGAAAAACGAAAGAGAGAAGACUCACAACUCUACAGGUUCUUUUUAGUCUGAAUGCAUAGUGGAUUUGUUUU